CGCGCAGGCGGUCAGAUGCGCCGGUCGUGAAAGCCCCCGGCUCAACCGGGGCGGGUCGAUCGGGACGGUCUGACUGGAGGGUGUCAGAGGGGGUGGAACGCCGCGUGGAGCAGUGAAAUGCGUAGAUAUGCGGCAGAACACCGGAGGCGAAGGCGGCCCCCUGGGGCACAUCUGACGCUGAGGCGCGAAGGCGCGGGGAGCGAACG
rnacentral:rRNA from 1 species